rnacentral:rRNA from 1 species
AUUGAACGCUGGCGGCAGGCCUAACACAUGCAAGUCGAGCGGUAACAGGGGAGCUUGCUCCUGCUGACAAGCGGCGGACGGGUGAGUAAAGUAUGGGGAUCUGCCUGAUGGUGGGGGAUAACUACUGGAAACGGUGGCUAAUACCGCAUAACGUCUUCGGACCAAAGGGGGCGCAAGCUCUCGCCGUCAGAUGAACCCAUAUGGGAUUAGCUAGUUGGUGAGGUAAUGGCUCACCAAGGCGACGAUCUCUAACUGGUCUGAGAGGAUGACCAGUCACACGGGGACUGAGACACGGCCCAGACUCCUACGGGAGGCAGCAGUGGGGAAUAUUGGACAAUGGGGGCAACCCUGAUCCAGCCAUGCCGCGUGUGUGAAGAAGGCCUUCGGGUUGUAAAGCACUUUCAGUGGGGAGGAAGGGUGUAGUGCUAAUACCACUAUGCAUUGACGUUACUCACAGAAGAAGCACCGGCUAACUCCGUGCCAGCAGCCGCGGUAA